rnacentral:lncRNA from 1 species
UUUUUUGUCAAAAAGCACAUUUUUAUUCAGAAGAGAGAAAAAAAUGCAUCCAGUUAACAGCAUUGGUAAAAUAAUGAAAAAAUACACAAUACAGUAAUUUUUCAGUGUAUAGUACCUUAUAAAUACAUUUAUAGACCCUGUAACAACCACAUUAUAUUUGAUCUGUGCAAACAAUACACAGAUUUUUAGCUUGAAGAAUCUUAUGAUUAUUUCUUUUCAUUAUUUAAUGUAUCGUAUGACAAAUCCAGUCAGUAUAUUCAGUAAGGAAACACAAUACCUACAACACACCUCAAGGCUAAGAAUAUUAAAAGCUAUUAAAAAUAUAUGACUGAAAAAUCUCACAAAGAAUAAAAUUCACUUUUUCAGGGAGACAAAAGAGGUUUGUGUUCUACUGAAGUCCUUUAAUACAAGAUAGAUAAACUAUACUCAAAAGGGAAGUUCCUUUGUUGGUCUUAGUGCAACACGUGAAAUUUACUAUCAGUUAAAACUGACACGAGACUGGGCAUAUAUGCUAGAAUUUAACACCAACUCUUUUUGAGACAACUAACUGUGUAAAACUAACAAGUGAUUGUGUAUUUCUAGAUGUCUGCCUUCCACCUCAGUUCUUUGGUGUAUCAGUACUUUGAUGCAGAUACCCUCUUGAAUGCCCCUGAAAAAUAAAUAAACCACCAGCAGCAACAUAGUCAAAUAGCCAAAUGCAUUCAUUGCACUUCAUAUAAUAAGGUCAUUUUUAAAAUUUGGGUGCUGGUGCCGAUGUUUACACAGAAAAUCAGUAUUUCUGUGCCUGGAUGCUGGUUUGAAUAACAAAUAUAGAACAGGAAGCUCAAGUUUGCAUAUAGCUUUUCAGUGUAUUACAAGUGAUUUUAAAUACAGUAUAAAACAGCUUAUAGGCUACUAUCUCAACAGUUAAUUUUAUGUUUGAUAUCCCCAUAGCAUUAUACCUCCUUCAAGAUUCACUGUAUUUUGAAUCAUCAGUAAAAGGCACUUGUGUAAGAUGAAAUCUCAGCACCACUGAAGGUAAGACCAAAGCUCACUGACUUCAACAGAACCAAAAAUUUUCUGAUUAUAAGCUAAACUUGCUAGUUUGCUACAUUGCACUGGUUUUCACAGUGUACUUUGCUUCCCUUGAGGAUUAUAGGAUACUUUAUUAUCAAGAGGAGUUGUUUACACUGAUCCAGCCACAUUGGUUAUUACACGUUUUUGAUUAUCUUGCACUACAGAAAAAGCAUCACACAUUAAAAGUAUACAUUCCAUUUUCUGCGUAUGCUCACCCUCUUUAUUGGGAGUUCACUAUAACUGUCUUUUGA